UAGUUUGUAAUUGCUUAUGAUUUCAACUAAAUUUUAUCGACGAAAUCAAGAUUAGAGUUCAGAUGGACUUACAAGUAUAUUAUGACUAACAACCAAAUAAAACAGAAGACACCCUCUAUUAUUUUUCACUUUUUUAAUUCGAUCGCGAGUUUUAAUUUAUCCGUUUAAUAAAGAAUUUACAGGUUUUUUUUAUAAGGUCCUGAGAAACCUAAAAACUUUUGAUUUCACUUUGAAUUUCUUAUCUGAUCAUUCACAAUCAUAAUCGAUUUGUAACCUUGUUACGAUUCUCAUCAUUUUGAACUAAUACCUACGAAUCAUUUCGAAAACAUUUCAUCACCAAGUUUUAGGGUUUAUCGUUGUGAUUCAACUGAUCUAUUAAUCGUUUGAUCCGAUUUUAAAAUUGAUUUCAGAUUCGUAAUUAGUGAAUCUAAAUCUACAUCACCCAUCUGAUGUUUUUGAACGGGAACUACUUUCGGAUUUGGACCUAUUUAGAAUUUAUCUGUUAUUAAUUUAUUUUCAUAGCUUUCCUGCUAUUGCAACAAGAUAAUAUGGUUUUCAACCUCUGAUUCUUGAUAACUAACGCAGAGAACUUUCCUUGGCUGUUCCCGGAUAUGUUCUUAAGUUACAUCUUUUUAGAAACCUCAGUCAAAGUUUUAAAUGCAACCAACUCAAUUAAAGGGGAAAUACAAGUAGACUAUGAGAUAGAUUGAUCUGAUGGAGAAGAGGGUGGUUAUGGCAGAGUCGAUGCUGGAGGGUACAUUACAGUACCAAUCUGGUCAAGCUAAGUGUUCAAAUCCAUCAAGAAUGCUAUUGAAUCCAUUGAAAGGGCUGUAGAGCAUGGAAUAAUGAAUUUUCUUAUUUCGUCAGAUUCUACAAUGC